GUGCUCUCUUCAGCAGUACACAUGCUAAAAAUUAGAACAAAACAACAAAGAUUAAGUAACAUGGCCCCUGCACAAGGAUAACGCACAAAUUUGUGGAGCUGUUGCCUACUUUU
ensembl:snRNA U6 U6 spliceosomal RNA